UCAAAGCUUCGUAAGAGUAACUAUAAAGGCAAUUUAAAUAAAGAAAUAUGAUAUACAGUUCAUCAGAUUUUGGUUUGUAGCACAAGUGUGCUUCUGCUGUUAAUUUGCGGUGUUGAAAAAUAAUGUCUAGUUCAAAUUAAUAAAAAUUCGAGUAUUCAUACUUGAGUUGUAUAAACAAAUUAAUGCUAAUUGUCGGUCAGUGUAAACAACAUGUAUUUAGCAGCGGUUGACGGAGACUUCACCAUUUUCAGGUUUUUCAGUUUUGGUAAAACACAUCUUUAACCCAGACUAACUGUAGGCACAGCCGAGCAAUUUGUGGACUCUUUUGGACAAGCCUAUGGCGCAUCCGGCGGGAGGGGGUAUAAAAUGAUGGGGCUAGCUUUCCAUCGACGCAGUUUAAAGCCACUUUAAUUUCGGAUAAUUAAAUUAAAAGGCAGGAUGACUCCUCUGUUUAACCUCCUUUUAGUUUUGGCGGCAUCAUCCUCAGUGAUUGCCAUGCCUCGUGGUAGAACUAUGCCAGAACCAAGGCCAAUGCCAGAACCUAUGGGAAAUCAAAUGGGAAAUCAAAUGGCAAGACCUGAGCCAAUGUCUAUGGGCGCUCGUCCAAUGGGAAAUGGCCAACAAAGAAUGACAAUGAAUGCAGCACAGAGCAGAAUGGCACAAAUGCCAAUGCCUAUGAAUGCAAAUUCGAUGAACAUGCGAAUGGCCAACAUGGGACAGAUGCAAAUGGCGAACAUGGCUAACAUGGCAAUGCGUCAGAUGCAGAUUAACUCCAUGCGCAAUGCAGGAAACCAAAUGAACAAAAACGGCGGAGCUGGAGAAGGCGCCGCUGCUGGAGGUGAGGGCGCCGCUGCUGGAGGUGAGGGCGCUGGUGCGGCUGGCGGUGAAGGCGCAGCAGCUGGUGGUCCACCGCCGCCCGACGAUAUGGAAGGUAUGGCCGCCCUCGCCGCAGGUCUUCCUCUGGAUGAUGCUCCCCCAGCCGGAGCCGGAACCCACGCUCAACCAUCAAUCCCAAAGAUGCCAUCACCUAUGGUUGCCAUCCCAGCUCCAAUGAUGACUCCAAUGACCAUGAUGACAAUGCCAGGCGCCAUGGUAGGCGCGGGUAAUGCUGGUGCCAUGGGAAUGCCGAUGAUGCCAGUCAAUGGGAUGAUGCAAAUUAAUGGAAUGAUGCCAGGCAGUGGAAUGAUGCCAGCAAAUGGAAUGAUGCUAGCCAAUGGGAUGAUGCCCGCCCAUGGAAUGAAUGCAGCCAAUGGAAUGAAUGUAGCCAAUGGAAUGAAUGCAGCCAAUGGAAUCAAUGGAAUGAAUGUAGCCAAUGGAAUGAAUGCAGCCAAUGGAAUGAACGCAGCCAAUGGAAUGGUGUCUGGUGCAGGAGCUGGUAACACGAUGAUGCCAAUAAUGAUGCAAAUUGCGGCACCAUCUGGUGCAGGUGCAAUGAAAUCUACCCUUACAGGCAUGGUCACUGGUAUGCCAAUGGUAAUAAUGCCCAUGGCUGCACUGAUGGGAACCGGAAUGAUGCCAAUGGGUAUGGGAGGAAAACAAGCACCAAUGCACAAAAGACGAUACAGGAGAGCGGCAGCAUAUCCACCGAUGGAAGGUAUGAACAUGGGCAACAAAAUGAAUGCUCCAAAUGGCAACAAUAGACAGGGAAGGAACAUGGCAAACAUGAUGAAUGCAAUGAAAAUGUCCCAAAUGAACAUGAAUGCAAUAAAUGCUGCAAAUGGUCAACAGAACAUGGGCAACAUGAUGAACGCAAACAUGGAUGACAUAGUGAAAAUGCAACAGAUGCAGAAUAUGGAUGACAUGGUGAACAACAUAAACAACAUCAUGAAUGCUUUCAAUGGUCCACAGAACAUGGGCAACAUAAUGAAUGUAGGAAUGGAUGAUGCAAUGAAAAUGCAGAAAAUGGACGAUAUGAUGAAAAUGUCACAGAUGCAGAAUCAAGUGAACAACAUUAUGAAUGGUCCAAGGAAUACAGAAAACGAGAUGCAACAAUUAAACAACAUGAUGAAUGCUGCCAAUAGUCAGCAGAAUAUGGGCAACACAAUGAACACAGUUGAUGAUGUGAUGAAAAUGAACCAGAUGCCAAAAAUGGACGAUAUGAUGAAUCAAAUGAACAACAUGAUGAAUUCAAAUAAAGGUCCACAGAACAGAGGAAAUGUGAUGAACCAAAUCAGCAAUAUGAUGAAUGUUGCAAAAGGUUCACAGAAUAUGGCUAAUACAAUGAAUGCAGUGGAUGAUAUGAUGAAAAUGUCGCAAAUGCAAAAUAUGGACGACAUGGUAAACCAAGCAAGCAACAUGAUGAAUGCUAGAGGUCAACAAAUGGACGACAUGACUGUUGCAAUGAAUAACAUGCCAUCCAUGAAUGGAGUGAAUAUGGCUAAUAUGGGAAUGAUGCCAUCCAAUUCUGCAAAUUCUAUGAAUAACAUGCAGUCAUCUGCCAAUAACAUGAUGAUGAUGAUGAUGUCCCCACAAAACAACAUGAUGUCUCCAAUGAACAACCAGCCCUCUCCUAACAAUGGCAUGUCAAAACCAUCAAAACCAAGAUCUGUUUACUAGAGAUUUAAUGUGGAUUUGUGUUAGUACCAAAGAGCUUUCGUCACUUCAGCUGGUGUCUUUCAGACAACCGAUUCAGUCACAGGAGAUGGACUUGGUAUGCUCAGGACUUGAGUACACAUGUACCGGGUACACUCUAUCCCAUUUGUGCCAAUCAAUGUAUAAAUUAUAUAUAAUGUUCUGCUUUAAGUUGUGAUAUGUUGUUCACUGUUCAGCGACUUAUAAUGUGGCUUUUAUGAUUAAAAGCAUUUGUUAUCCGAAAUUACCUUUUAGUCAUAUUUUUCCUAACAAUAGCAUAGUCCGACACUUAAAUGAAAUGUGAAAACAUUUCAGCAUUAAAAAGAUGUAUUUUAGUAAACAUGUAGUUACCCUAACUUAGCGUUUUCUAAACAUUUUAGAAAAUUCAUUUGAAAAUACAGUUUACCAGGGUCUAAAUUUCCUGAUUAAAAUUUGUAUGUAGCGGCUGAUAAUUAGAAAAUGUGAAUGUAUGAAUGAGAAUUGUUUUAUUAUCAAUGUCAUGUUCAGAGAACACAUUCAAAAUAAAUUUUUAAAAAUUGUGUGUA
rnacentral:misc_RNA from 1 species